CGCACGCUCCUUAGAUCCACCUCUGGAGGGCGCUGUUCUCCGAGCAGAGCUCCUCAGCAGCUUCCUGCUGUACUGUCGGAGGUGCUUGAGUCAUUGGCGUGUGAGAACAGUCCACCUGCCCUCCAGCCCUCAUGCAGCACUGACAACCCUGGGUUCUGAACACGGGGGUGCACCAGUGCUGCCAGUCUGGGGGGUGGACAUU
ensembl:snoRNA